rnacentral:rRNA from 1 species
AUGGAUAUUUUGCCACUUCCUUACGCGGUUCCGCAUGAUACAAAUAUCGAAGUUAUCGCUGGAAAUUCUGACACAUUCCUUUCUGGAAACGACACAUCACUGGACUCUUGUGAAUGCAGUUCAAAGAAAGACUUCCUUGCACCGGCAUACACCAUACUGGGCGCCGGGGAGGUGUUCGCCGCCAUUGGCGUGAUCGAGCUCUUCUACGACAAAGCGCCCGACAGCAUGAGGAGUCUGUGCACCGCACUCGCACAGCUCGCUGUCGCAGCGGGGAACUACCUUAACUCGGCCGUGCUGGGCUCCGUCGCGUCCGCCACGGGAUGGAUCCCAGAGGACCUCAACGACGGCCACCUGGACUACUUCUUCUGGCUGAUGGCGGUGCUCGGCGCACUAAACCUGCUGCAGUUCUUGCUCUGCUCUGUUCCGGCCAUGAGGCACACCCGUAGGUAG